rnacentral:rRNA from 1 species
UACGGAGGAUGCAAGCGUUAUCCGGAAUGAUUGGGCGUAAAGCGUCCGCAGGUGGCAAUGUAAGUCUGCUGUCGAAGCGUCUGGCUCAACCAGAUAAAGGCAGUGGAAACUACAUAGCUAGAGUAAGGUAGGGGUAGAGGGAAUUCCUGGUGUAGCGGUGAAAUGCGUAGAGAUCAGGAAGAACACCGGUGGCGAAAGCGCUCUGCUGGACCUUAACUGACACUGAGGGACGAAAGCUAGGGGAGCGAAUGGG